CACGAAGGGUGCGAGCGUUGUCCGGAAUUAUUGGGCGUAAAGAGCUCGUAGGCGGUGUGUCACGUCGGCCGUGAAAACCUGCAGCUUAACUGUGGGCGUGCGGUCGAUACGGGCAUCACUGGAGUUCGGCAGGGGAGACUGGAAUUCCUGGUGUAGCGGUGAAAUGCGCAGAUAUCAGGAGGAACACCGGUGGCGAAGGCGGGUCUCUGGGCCGAUACUGACGCUGAGGAGCGAAAGCGUGGGGAGCGAACAGG
rnacentral:rRNA from 1 species